rnacentral:sRNA from 1 species
GUUAAAGGAACGUCGACUAAGAACCGCCACGUCCUGUGGCGAACUUCGACGCCAACCCAUCCUGGGCA